GGUAAGGUGACUGAGAAUUAAGUGGCGGAUUGUAAUCCCGUGAACAGAGGUUAAACCCCUCUUCUUACCA
rnacentral:tRNA from 2 species